CUUUUUUCUUGGGUUGAACUUGCUCCCUUUCUUGUUCGGGCUGAACACCUUCGCGCUGAUCUCCAUCAGAGCUGCCUCCACUGGUGCUCGGACUGUCAUCAACUCUCUGCCCCUCCGCAGACAUGGCAGAUGCUGUGCGCGGGGCUCUCCGGCUGGCGCGAGGCGCGGGCGGCGGGACGAUCCGUAGCGGCGGCCCCGGCUGCGGCCGGGCGAGGGGCUGGCGGGGGGCAGCGGCCGCUCACUGAGUCAUGAGCCCGCCCCGCGCUGCCUGCCGCCCGCCCGCUGCGCUCCCUUUCUUCUUUCUGCCCUUUUUCCCCUUUCCGAGCCGAGCGGCGGCCGCUGCCCGCGCCGCCUCUACCGCCGCCGCUCCUGCCCCCGCUGCCCGAACAGAAGUGAAGCCGCUGUCGCCGCGCGCGCGCGUCCCCGACGCCGACGCCUCCGCGCGCGCUCGCGCCAGGCCCC
rnacentral:lncRNA from 1 species